UAGGCCUGAAAACAGGUUUUGUUUUUUGGUUUCAAUGUAGAGUAUUUAAUUAUGCUGUAUAAUAAUUGUAAAAAAUAAAGGUAACUACUUCACGGAUUUCACCUAUUACUGGUUCUUUUCGGAACACAACCCGUGCGAAAAACGAGGGUUCACUGUAAUCCCACAGAAAAGCCGAAAAAAAGAAGCUCUGGAAAAAAGAAACUAGACAUAAGAAGUAAAUUACAGAAAGAGACUACAUGCCAUUAGUCCAUCAGUAACUCUACAUUGGAAAAAACUGUUUCUACAGACAUAACUUGAAUUCAUGUACACAAGAACUGUUAAUUGAAUAUUCUGCAUAAAGUUCUGUCACUUCAAUCAAAAAUCGAUGUAUCCCGAUCUGAAUAACUAAGGCAUUUUUUAAUAUAGCUAGACUCUCAUAACAUAUUUAAUUUACAAGAAAAUCCAAAAAAUAAUUCUUGCAAAGAUCACCUGGUCAAUAGGAGUACUGUACCUUGUGUUUGUUCAAUGUUGUUCUGGAUGUCCGCUCUUUCAAAUCCUUUAUUAGAUUCUGCUCUUUCUAAUUCUAAUCAAAAGAUUAAGAAUUCAGUAGUUUCUCAUUCAGUUAAAAUCUUGUCACAUAUAAGAAAACAUUAUGGAUGGACAGUCACAUCAGUUCUUAGUCCAUUGAUAAAUAACCACACAUUCCCUCUAUCAGCCCUAAAUGUAUUUCUUAAUCAGUGGAAACAUAAAGGGAUUCAAUGUACAAAAGAUGUAUUUUUUGAAAAGGCUUUUACAUUUACAUUUCAACAAUUACAUAGCAAAUUUAAUAUGGAAAGUAAAGAUUUUUUUUUUUAAAUACUUACAGUCUCAAGAACAGAUUUC